AAGUCGUAACAAGGUUUCCGUAGGUGAACCUGCGGAAGGAUCAUUAGUGAUUUGGCUCCGGCCUAUACCUUCUACCUUCUGUGCAACCGUGCCCUCGGGCUUUUUAAACAUUGUGUUGACGAACGUGAUAAUGGAUAAUAAAUAAAA
rnacentral:misc_RNA from 1 species